rnacentral:rRNA from 1 species
AUGCCUAGUUCAUCGAAUCAGGAACCAGUUACAAUUACCAAACCUGCCAUUUCGAUGGAACACUUUGAAAGUCCUGUGGAGGAAAACAAUGAAGUUCCUACUAGGAGCAAGAGACAGAGGACUGCAAAGUCCUUUGGUGAUGAUUUUCUUGUGUAUCUCGUAGAUGACACUCCCAGUUCUAUUUCAGAGGCCUAUGCAUCUGAAGAUGCUGACUACUGGAAGGAAGCGGUUCGUAGCGAGAUGGAUUCCAUCUAG